UGGGUGCCAGCCAGGAUCGCUCUCUGCACUCCCUCCUGCUGGUGGCUGGCAGCCUGGUGGGUGUUGAUCAUCCUCACGGCUGAGCAGCGGGAGCACUGAGGAGGGAGCAAGACAGGCUCGGCUCACAGCAAUGAGGGAAGCUGGCCAAGGUGGAGGCGGAGGAGGCGUGAAACCGACAGUGGAGCCCAGGCCGGGGGCUGAGAGAGAGACAGAAACCUCAGACUGGAGGCAGCCUGGAGCGGGAGAGGCGGGCAUCGGCCAGCAGAUGGGAACCCUCACAGCAGACCAAGAAAUGGGCGGGUGUAGUGCCCAUCUCUAGGUGGGGAAACUGAGGCUCAGGGAGGGAAGGUUGUUCCAAAGCCACCCAUUAGGAGCCCAGGGGCAUAGGGGCGGGGGAGCAGGGAGGAGCGGACCUGGGACACAGACCGUUGCAGCUGGGGCCCCCACCUACCUCACUUAUGGGAUUCCUUGGCCAGAGGAAGGAGCUGGGCUGAGGUUCAGGAGCCUGCAGUCAAGUUUCUGCCUUCCAGUCGCCGCCCUGCUGUGGCCUCACUGUGUGUCCUCGGCAAGUUCCGGUCCCUCUGAGGGCCUCAGUCUCUCUGUGAAAUUGAAGAGGCCUGGGACCAGACCAUCUGCCAUAUUCCUUUCUGUUUCUGUGACUUGAGCCCCAUGGCACCCACUCUGCCAGCAUUCAUGGGGUGCCGAGUGGGCCCAGGUGACAAAUUCUACCGCCAGUAAUCACUUGUGAAAAAUCAACAGUGAAGCCCAGCGGCUCCCGGUCCCCCGGAGAAAUCUGAGUGGAUUUCUGGAAGAACAAGUCCAAUCUCUGCCCUGCUGCCCUCCAUCUGCCUAUUUCUCUCCUAGACUUCGGCUUCAGAAAAAUGUGGUUUCAAAGCUGCAGUCCCGGCCUUCCUCAGCUGUGUGACCUUGGUUAUGUCCACGUGCCCAUUGCCUCGCCUGGGCCUCACUUUUCUCAUCUGUAUCAUGGAGUUGGCACCACCGGCUCUGCCCUCAAGGUUUGCCGCGCCUGCAGAGGCCCCUGAGCAUUCAGCAGGUGCUCACUCAGCAGGAGCUGCCAGACACUGAAUGUGUGAUGGGAAUCAUUGGAUGCUGCCGCCUCUCCGCCCACCCGCCACCUGACACUGCCUCCUGGCUCUCCAUCACUGCCCAGGAGUCGGGCAGCCUCCCCGCUCCCUGCUAUUUCUUCUCUGCACCUGACGCCGCCUCCUGGCUCUCCAUCACUGCCCAGGAGUCGGGCAGCCUCCCCGCUCCCUGCUAUUUCUUCUCUGGAGCUUCCCAGGAGGUUAAUAGCAGCUUCUCACCAGGAUAUUUGGCUUUUUAAGGAAUCUUGUUGCCUCUUUCUUCUCUGUGAGGAUAUUCUCAGGAUGGUUGUGGUGGAGAAGGGAAGGAAGGAGACUCUCGAGGCAUUUGCCAACUAAGGGGGGCACUUAGGGGUAGGUGGGGGGGGCAGUUCCGGGCAGAACUUGGGGCAGACAGUGCCCUGUUUCCAGAACAGCUCCCAGUGCUGGGCUGGGCUGGGCUUAAAUGCAGUGGGAGAAGCUCAAGGGUGGGGUGGGGUCACAGGCUCCACUUGGAAUGGGCCAGGUCAUUUGACUAUGGGGGCAUUUCUGAGCCUGGUGGGGCCUCAGUCUCCCCUCCCGGAAGAUGGGCCUGAUGAUCCAUGCCAGCCUGUAAAGGAAGGGAAAGAGUUUUGCUGAGCUGCAGAAGGAGGUGCAGACAAGGCGAGGGGCUGGGUGUUGGGGGAGGCCAGCUGAGCGCCCAGGACCCCUCUGGCCCCACCCCAGGUCCUUGGGCUCCACCUGCUCUCAGCCCUGCCCUGAGCUCAGGAAUGGUCCCAGGCCUGAGAAGGAGGUCAAAACUCUGCAGCCCUUCCACUACUACUUCGGGGGGCUCAGCACAGCUCCUCUGGGCUCAGGUCCCCAGGCCUUUCCCUGAUGUAACCCCCCAAUCAGGCCCGCCCAGUAGGGGAGGUCCACCUCUUAUGUGUGUGUUUUAAAUUGCAGUAAAAUGUACGUAACAUGAAAUUUACCAUUUUAUCUCUGUAAGCAUACAGGUCCGUGGCAUUCGGUACAUUCACAUUCCUGUGUGGCCAUGACCACCAUCCAUUUCCGGGGCUUCUGCAUGAUCCCGAACAGAAGCUUGCAUGCCCUGCGCCACGCCCCCUCCCAUGUCAACCCCCGUAACCGCUGGUCUUCGUCUCUAUGAAUUAAACUAUUCCAGGUACCUCCCAUCAGUGGAAUCAUAAAAUAUAUGUUCUUUUG